UCGCUUUAUGCUGGAAAAGAUGUUGGUACUGAAGGACAAUGACAUGCAGAGGACUCUGGGCUUUGACCCUGAGCCUGUAGAGAAACUGAGGAAAUUGCAAAGAGCUUUGAGAGAGUGGAAGAGAGAGGGAAAGAUAGAGAGAAAUAUCGAUGUGAGAGAAACACACUGCACUCGCCCUGGAGCCUGCCGCCGAGGCAGUUGACUGGUGGAGUUCAGGUGUUCUAAUGUAUGAACUGUUCACAAUCGAUG